ensembl:lncRNA
GUAAAGAAAGAUUAAUCAUCCUGUUUGCCUAUUAUUAUAUUUAAAUUUAGAGAAAUUGUAUGUUUCAAUGAAAGGUAUUGAACAUGAUUAGUUUUCUCUAAACAUUAUCCUGUUUUGCAGGAUUAAGGAUAGACAUAUAGAUCAAUGGAACAGAAUUGAGCAUCCAGAUAUGGAUCUACACUUAUGUGGUCAGUUGAUUUUCAGUAAAGGUAUCAAAGAAUGUCAAUCGGAAGAGAAUAGGCUUUUCAAGAAAUGUUUCUGGAAUAACUAUAUAUCCACAUGGAAAACAAAUGAACUUUUAUCUCUCUUCACUCCAUAUACCAAUAUUAAUUCAAAAUAGAUCACUGACCUAAAUGUAAGAGCAAAACCACAUACAUCGUGUAGAACAAAGUAUAGGAGACAAACUUUGUGACCUUGAGACAACACACAAAAAGCAUGAACCAUAAAUUUAAAAACUGAUAAAUAGUCUUAAAAAAAUUAAAAUUUUUUGCUUAUUGAUAUCAUUAAGAAAAUGAAAAGGCAAGCUACAGCCUGGGGAAAAAAUAUUUGUAAAGCAUAUAUCUGACAAGGGACUUGUGUCCAGAUCUAAUUUAGGACUUUUACAACUCAAUGAUAAAAACAACUCAAUUUUAAGAAAUGGGAAAGAUCUGUACAGGUACUUCACAGAAAGAUGUCCAACUUGAUUGGUCAUUGCUGCUGCUGCUGCUGCUGCUGCUAAGUUGCUUCAGUCGUGUCCGACUCUGUGCGACCCCAUAGACAGAAGCCCACCAGGCUCCCCCGUCCCUGGGAUUCUCCAGGCAAGAACACUGGAGUGGGUUGCCAUUUCCUUCUCCAAUGCAUGAAAGUGAAAAGUGAAGGGGAAGUUGCUCAGUCGUGUCCGACUCUUUGCGACCCCAUGGACUGCAGUCUACCAGGCUCCUCCAUCCAUGGGAUUUUCCAGGCAAGAGUACUGGAGUGGGGUGCCAUCGCCUUCUCCAUGAUUGGUCAUUAAGGACAUGCAAAUUUAAACCACAGUAAGAUACUACUAUACUCAUAUUAGAAUUUCUCAAAAAGACCGAAAUGUCAAGUGUUGGUGAAGAUAUGGUACAACCAAAACUCCCGUAUACUGCUAGUGAAAGUGCAAAGUGGUGCAGCUACUGGAAACAGUUUUGUCAGUGUCUUAACAAUUGAAACAUGCACCUACUACAUGACCCAGUGAUUCUACUCCUAGGGGUUUACCUUAGUAAAUGAAAAUAUAUGUCCACACAAAGAUUUGUACACAAAUGUUCAUAGCAGCGUUAUUCAUAGUAACCAAACAAUAGGAACACUCAAAUACCUAUCAGCUGGUCCGUGUGUAAACAAAAUGUGGCAUAUGCAUUCAACAGAAUACAACUGCAAAUAAAGCAAAAUAAACUAUUGACACACAAAACAAUGUAGAAAUAUCUUAAAAAUGUAAUGACAAGUGAAAAAACAAAUGACACAAAAGACAUAGGAAAUAUGAAUGUGAAGUCCUGGAAAAAGCAAAAUACAACAGCAGAAGGCAGACCAGUGCUUGUCUUGAGGCUGGGGGGUGAGGUACAACUUGAUCACAAAGGGGAAUGAGGGAUUUUGGGAGGGUGAGUAAAGUGUUCCAAAGCUUACUCCUGUAGUAGUUGCACAGCUCUAUAUACUUACUAAAACCAUACUACUUUACACUUAAAAUGGGUAAAUUUUAUAUUAUAUAAAUAUGCUUCAAAAUGAUCUUAAAGUAUAUACAUUAAGCCUCAAGAGAGUUUUUUAACAAAAAAAGAUAAUUGUUAUUCAGCAAAAAAUUUGUUGCUGAUAAGAUCAAUUUAAAAUGCCUAGCCUACCAAUCCAUUUUCUACAAAACAAUUAUCUUUGUGCAGUC